GAAAGUGAAAUCUGGGGCUUCCCGGGAGUCGGCGAUCAUAUAAAAUGGUCAACGAAUUCCGGAUUAGUGCUCAUUUGAAAGUGUUCGUUUUGUGCUCUUUUGAAAAGUGAAACUGAUGCUCAACUGAUAAAAACUUUACU
ensembl:ncRNA F23H12.15 ncRNA